rnacentral:rRNA from 1 species
AGCGAACGCUGGCGGCAGGCUUAACACAUGCAAGUCGAACGCAUCCUUCGGGGUGAGUGGCAGACGGGUGAGUAACACGUGGGAACGUACCUUUUUGUUCGGAAUAACUCAGGGAAACUUGAGCUAAAACCGGAUACGCCCUUAGGGGGUAAGAUUUAUCGCAGAAAGAUCGGCCCGCGUCUGAUUAGCUAGUUGGUGAGGUAAAGGCUCACCAAGGCGACGAUCAGUAGCUGGUCUGAGAGGAUGAUCAGCCACACUGGGACUGAGACACGGCCCAGACUCCUACGGGAGGCAGCAGUGGGGAAUAUUGGACAAUGGGCGCAAGCCUGAUCCAGCCAUGCCGCGUGAGUGAUGAAGGCCCUAGGGUUGUAAAGCUCUUUCGGCGGGGACGAUAAUGACGGUACCCGCAGAAGAAGCCCCGGCUAACUUCGUGCCAGCCGCCGCAGUAACAC